UAGGGAAUCUUCCACAAUGGACGCAAGUCUGAUGGAGCAACGCCGCGUGAGUGAAGAAGGUUUUCGGAUCGUAAAGCUCUGUUGUUGGUGAAGAAGGAUAGAGGUAGUAACUGGCCUUUAUUUGACGGUAAUCAACCAGAAAGUCACGGCUAACUACGUGCCAGCAGCCGCGGUAAUACGUAGGUGGCAAGCGUUGUCCGGAUUUAUUGGGCGUAAAGCGAGCGCAGGCGGAAGAAUAAGUCUGAUGUGAAAGCCCUCGGCUUAACCGAGGAACUGCAUCGGAAACUGUUUUUCUUGAGUGCAGAGGAGGAGAGUGGAAUUCCAUGUGUAGCGGUGGAAUGCGUAGAUAUAUGGAAGAACACCAGUGGCGAAGGCGACUCUCUGGUCUGCAACUGACGCUGAGGCUCGAAAGCAUGGGUAGCGAACAGG
rnacentral:rRNA from 1 species